rnacentral:rRNA from 1 species
CUAACGGCUGAACCAGCAACUUGGAGGAAUGUAUAGCUACGGCUAAUUGUGUAUAACUACACGAUAUCGACUCUGUCGAAUAAAAUUCUGGGUAAAUUAUGAUGAUGACAUUUUUUACCUAUGUGUCUUGACCAAAUUGUGUGCCAGCAGUCGCGGUAAUACAUAGAAGACUAGUGUUAUUCAUCUUUAAUAGGUUUAAAGGGUACCUAGACGGUAGAUCAAGCCCUAUACGGGACUAAUUUGCUAGAGUUACUUAUGAGGGGGCUUUAAAGUACUAAUGGUGUAGAGAUAAAAUUUUGUAAUACCAUUUUUCUUAAGAAAAAUUA